UACUAGAGUAGCACUCGCAUAUCAAUAAGCGGAGGAAAAGUAACUAACAAGGAUUCCCCUAGUAACGGCGAGUGAAGCGGGAAGAGCUCAAAUUUGAAAUCUUAAAGGGUUUCCCUUUACGAAUUGUAGUUUAAAGAAGUGUUUUCCUGUUGAGGUUUUGGUAAAAGUUCUUUGGAAUAGGACAUCAUAGAGGGUGAGAAUCCCGUAUUUGACCUUUACUUUCAACUUUGUGAUACACUUUCAAAGAGUCGGAUUGUUUGGGAAUGCAGUCCAAAAUGGGUGGUAAAUUUCAUCUAAAGCUAAAUAUUGGCGAGAGACCGAUAGCGAACAAGUACCGUGAGGGAAAGAUGAAAAGAACUUUGAAAAGAGAGUUAAACAGUACGUGAAAUUGUCAAAAGGGAAGCGUUUGACACCAGUGUUGUUUUUCUGAAAAUCAAUUAAAGAACUGUUUAUGCUAAGCUGUUUAGACUUUAUCAGCUAAUCUGUUUAGUUUUGAGCUUUUCUUUAAUGCACUUUUCAGUUAACAAGUCAACAUCAAUUUCUUUUGCUGUAAAAAAGCUUGAGGAAGGUGGCUUGAGAUUCGUCUUAAGUGUUUAUAGCCUCUUGCCUAUGCAGUCGGAGAGAUUGAGGUCUGCAGCGUAGAUCCUUCGGGGCUAAAUGCAUUUGUGCUAAGUUAUAGCAUUUUAUAGACAACUUGUUGACUAUGAUUUGUCUUGUAGCUUACUCGCUUAUGUUAUUUUACCUACGCUUAGGAUGUUGAGCGCAUGUCUCUCUCU
rnacentral:rRNA from 1 species